UCCAACGCCGUGCCAGAAUCCGUGGUAUGCCGCAAGUUGCAACCUGUAACCGGAAGUACUGCGCCGAAAGCGUUCGCAGGCGGUGAUGUAGAACAGUUGUGAAGGCCCCGGGCUCAACCUGGGAACUGCAUCUGUGACUGCAUUGCUGGGGUGCGGAAGAGGGGGAUGGAAUUCCGCGUGUAGCAGUGAAAUGCGUAGAUAUGCGGAGGAACACCGAUGGCGAAGGCAAUCCCCUGGGCCUGCACUGACGCUCAUGCACGAAAGCGUGGGGAGCAAACAGGAUUAGAUACCCCAGUAGUC
rnacentral:rRNA from 1 species